GGCAGCACGGAGCUUGCUCUGGUGGCGAGUGGCGAACGGGUGAGUAAUGCGUCGGAACGUAUCCAAUAAUGGGGGAUAACGCAGCGAAAGCUGUGCUAAUACCGCAUACGCCCUCCGGGGGAAAGCAGGGGAUCUUCGGACCUUGCGUUAAUGGAGCGGCCGACGUCUGAUUAGCUAGUUGGUAGGGUAAAGGCCUACCAAGGCGACGAUCAGUAGCUGGUCUGAGAGGAUGAUCAGCCACACUGGGACUGAGACACGGCCCAGACUCCUACGGGAGGCAGCAGUGGGGAAUUUUGGACAAUGGGCGCAAGCCUGAUCCAGCCAUUCCGCGUGAGUGAAGAAGGCCUUCGGGUUGUAAAGCUCUUUCAGGAGGGAAGAAACGAUUGUGGCUAAUACCCAUGAUUAAUGACGGUACCUUCAGAAGAAGCACCGGCUAACUACGUGCCAGCAGCCGCGGUAAUACGUAGGGUGCGAGCGUUAAUCGGAAUUACUGGGCGUAAAGCGUGCGCAGGCGGUUUUUCAAGUCUGAUGUGAAAUCCCCGGGCUUAACCUGGGAACUGCGUUGGAAACUGAAAGACUAGAGUGCGGCAGAGGGGGGUAGAAUUCCACGUGUAGCAGUGAAAUGCGUAGAUAUGUGGAGGAAUACCGAUGGCGAAGGCAGCCCCCUGGGUCGACACUGACGCUCAUGCACGAAAGCGUGGGUAGCAAACAGGAUUAGAUACCCUGGUAGUCCACGCCCUAAACGAUGUCAACUAGUUGUUGGGGAGGGAGACCUCCUUAGUAACGCAGCUAACGCGUGAAGUUGACCGCCUGGGGAGUACGGUCGCAAGAUUAAAACUCAAAGGAAUUGACGGGGGCCCGCACAAGCGGUGGAUUAUGUGGAUUAAUUCGAUGCAACGCGAAAAACCUUACCUACCCNU
rnacentral:rRNA from 1 species